rnacentral:pre_miRNA from 1 species
AGUUUUUCGAAUCUGUGCUGAGAUUUUGUCAAACACCAACCCAUUAGAGCUGAUCACACUUCCAAGAAAAGUGAAGUU